AUACCUCAUUCCCUUCAAGUUUUUUGCUUGGUCUGGGAGUGGACUUGAGCUUGCGUUGGCUUGCUCGAAAUGCAUGGUGGUGAAAGACCUGCCGAGUUUAACGUCAUAUCAUUUUCGCUAGACUUUGGCAGCGCUCGGAGCCCUCAUAACUGAACCUUUUUAAA
rnacentral:misc_RNA from 1 species